rnacentral:rRNA from 1 species
CGUGCCUAAGAAAUGCAAGUCGAGCGGGGGAGCAAUCCCCAGCGGCGAACGGUCGCGUAACACGUAGGCAACCUGCCCCACAGACCGGGACAACACUUCGAAAGAGGUGCUAAUACCGGAUGCGGCCGGCUUAAGACAUCUUGAGCCGAUUAAAUCCCGCAAGGGGCUGUGGGAGGGGCCUGCGGCCUAUCAGCUAGAUGGUGGGGUGAAAGCCUACCAUGGCGACGACGGGUAGCUGGUCUGAGAGGAUGGUCAGCCGGACUGGGACUGAGAUACGGCCCAGACUCCUACGGGGGGCAGCAAUUAGGAAUCUUGCGCAAUGGGGGCAACCCUGACGCAGCGACGCCGCGGGGAGGAGGAAGGCCUUCGGGUUGUAAACUCCUUUUUUGGGGGAAGAAACAAAUGACGGUACCCCAGGAAUAAGCCCCGGCUAACUCCGUGCCAGCAGUCGCGGUAAUACGGAGGGGGCGAGCGUUGUCCGAAGU